UACGUAGGGUGCGAGCGUUAAUCGGAAUUACUGGGCGUAAAGCGUGCGCAGGCGGUCUGUUAAGACCGAUGUGAAAUCCCCGGGCUUAACCUGGGAACUGCAUUGGUGACUGGCAGGCUUUGAGUGUGGCAGAGGGGGGUAGAAUUCCACGUGUAGCAGUGAAAUGCGUAGAGAUGUGGAGGAAUACCGAUGGCGAAGGCAGCCCCCUGGGCCAACACUGACGCUCAUGCACGAAAGCGUGGGGGGCAAACAGG
rnacentral:rRNA from 1 species